rnacentral:lncRNA from 12 species
UGGGGGUGGGGAGGGGGAGGGGGAGGGCCCGCCCGCCCGGGGCCGGACGCGCCGCCGAGGCCGCCCAAUGAGCGGGGGAGGGGGGGAGGGGGGGAGGGGGGAGGGGCUCGGCCCACCCCCGGGGGAGGGGCUCGGCCCACCCCCGCGGUCCUGGCGCGUCGCCCUGGACCCCGCGGGGGCAGGAGCGCGGGGGCCGCGGGAGAGCCGAGCGCGCGGCUUCGCGCCCCGGGCCUGGGGUCCGGGCCCAGUCGGAGGGCGGGCUGCGUGGAAACGCUCCGCCUUCAGGAGCACAGUCCACCCCGGCGCUGCUCGGCGGCGUCCAGGUCGGACUCGCUGGGUGGGACUCUGGCAGGAAGAGGGGGCAGGAGCCCCUGUCCCCCACCCCUGAAGCACACUUCCUGACUGUGCUCCACACCAUCCCUGGCUUCAACUGCUGUACCUCUGGGCUUCCAGGCCCCAGCACUGCCCAUUCAACCCGCCAACAACUCUUUCUGGAGGCUCCUCUUCAUCCUCUGUGCUUACCUGUACUCGGCAUGGGCCCUAUGACACCAAGCCAGCCUUUUCCUGCCUGUUGCCUCACUCAGACUAUCCUCUUUCAAAGCCCCCAUCUUCUGUCUCACUUCAGAGCUAUGCUGAAGCUGUUGCUCGUGCCUGGAAUCCUCUCCGUUUUUGGUACUCAGACAGAUUCUGCAACUCCUAUUGGUUCACGGCAUUUCCCUCGGCUCCUACAAGAGCAAGUUCUCCAGAAUACCAGUGCAAAGCUCCAAGACUAUUAAGACACAAUCCCUUUGGGGAGCAGUUCACAGUCUGUUGGAGAAGACAGACAGACGUGAUAGUAACAUGGUGAGAUGUGAACUAGUCUUAACAGAAUGAAUACCAAUAACAGUUGCCUAAGUGAGUAGCCUCAAGCAGAUAUGGGGAAAUGGGACUUGCAGAAGUUAGAUAAUACGCCCAGUUUUGUAGUUUGUGGAAGAGCCGCCAGGAUUUGAAUGUUUUCAAAUUUCAGUGUAUCUGAAACCAAAGCUAAUACUUUUUCUGCCACACCCUUCUGCCUUUCUGUAAAAGGAGAGGUUUCUCCCCCAAUUUCCAUCCACAAGGUAUAUCUGCUCUGUUGUUUAUACAUAAUGUUCAUUUACUAUUUACAUGUUCAUUUAUUCUAUCAGAAUGGUCUUGCUUAAAAAAAAUAAAUAAAAAUAAAAAUAAAUUAAAAAAAGAAAA